rnacentral:lncRNA from 1 species
CUAAUCCCCUGUUGAGCAUCCAAUCGAAGUAGAUAUUGCUCGGUUGCACUAAAGCCCCAAAAACAGGCAAUCGAAGGUUACAGAGUUCAAUCACUAUAAGAAUAUACAAGAAAGAGACUUAUCUCUUCAAAAAGAAUCAUAGAUCUGCUUCAGACUCGCACAGAAUCAAUAUACCACAUUCCUAAUCUCAACACAUGAGAACUCUAAGUUUCACUCAAGAAAAGAUCAAUAUACAGUGAGUAAUAACCUUCCAAAACAUCGAAUGAGAUGAUCGAUUACAGAAAAUAGGGAAGACUGAAAACCCUAACUCGAGAGAGACAAAGAACUCUCUCGAACCUCACUUAAGAGUCACACAAAAAUGAAAAGUCACCGAGUCAAACGAACAGUUCAUUCUAUUUAUAUCACCAGAGCGUAAACCUUUCAUCCAACGAUGGGAAUUAAGCCAGGUGUCAUCAUCAGGCAGAAUACCAUUUAUAAAGGCGUGUUUUCAAAACACGUUUUGUUAGCUGAAAAUAUGGGAGCACAAAUAACAAGGUUCGAGUCUCAACAAUUUCCACCGUGCUACCAUAUUUUCUGCUUUAGUGCAGCUAGUAGACAAUAUCACUUUCUCCUUUCAUUUGCUCCAAGUACCUGCAGCUUUAUCACAUAGUAUCAAUAGAUAAUGACUUCAAACAGUUUUUAAAUUUGUUCAAAGGUAUUAUCUUUGUUCCCAUAUCAGAUGGGUUAUAUUGAGUAGGUACUUUACCAAUUUUCAAAACACCUUUUGAAAUAAUGUCUCUAAUAAAGUGAUACUUAAUGUCUAUAUGUUUAGUCCUAUCAUGAUACAUGGGAUUUUUACUAAGGUGUAUGACACUUUGAUUAUCAGAAUAUAAUGUUGCAUUUUCAUCAACAAUUCCAAGUUCCUUAAGUAAUCCACUUAACCAUAUUCAUUCUUUAAAAGCAUCAGAUGCAGCAAUGUAUUCUGCUUCAAUUGAAGAUAAAGCUACAAUCUUUUGUAAUUGUGAUUUUCAACUAAUUACUGUACCACAUAAGGUAAAGAAAUAAGAUGAAGUUGAUUUCCUAUUGUCCCUAUUUUCAGCAAAGUCAGAAUCAGUAAAUCCCUUUAAGGUUAAUCCUUCUUUGUUCAUUUUAAACACAAGACCCAAGUUUGCAUUACCCUUUAAGUAUCUUAAGAGCCAUUUUAAAGCAUUCCAGUGUUCUUCCACAGGGUUACUCAUAAACCUACUUAAUAUACUAAUGCUAAAAGUAAGAUCAGGUCUAGUACAUACCAUUAAGUACAUCACAGAACUAAUAACAUUUGCAUAAGGUAUUUUUGACAUUUUAUCAGAUUCUUCAAAAGUUUUGGGACAGAGAUCAGAGGUUAGCUUAAAAUGAUUUGCAAGAGGCAGAGACACAGAUUUACAGUCAAACAUGUUAAAUUUUUUCAGAAUCUUUAUCACAAAAUAAUGUUGAUUCAGAAAUAACAUAUUUUUAUCUUUAUCUUUAUAAAUUUGCAUGCCAAGAAUCUUUUUAGCAUUUCAAAGAUCUUUUAUGUCAAAUUCAGAUUUAAGUUGUUGCUUAAUAUAUUCAAUCUCAGAUUUAUCACAACUUGCAAGCAGCAUAUCAUCCACAUAAAGUACAAGAUAAAGAGAAUGUUUACCUCUUUUACCUCUACAAUACAAACACGUAUCAUAAUUGCUCUUUUGAAAACCAAGUUUCAAUAAAAAAGAAUCAAAUCUUUUGUCACUGCCUAGGAGUCUGUUUCAGGCCAUACAGGGACUUCUUUAACAGGCAUACAACAUUUUCUGGAUUUCCUUUCAGAAACCCAACUGGUUGUUUCAUAUAAAUUGUUUCAUCCAGAUCUCCAUAAAGAAAAGUAGUCUUAACAUCCAACUGGUCAAGUUCCCAUCCAAAUUGAGCAACUAAGGCAAGUAAACAUCGAAUUGUUGUAUAUUUAGCUACAGGAGAAAAAAUUUCAGUGUAAUCUACUCCUUCCUUUUGUGUAAACCCCUUUGCAACUAACCUAGCCUUAUACCUAAGACUAUUAUUAUUUCUCCCUUCACCUUCUUUUAUUUUAUAAAUCCAUUUACAGUCUAUAAGCUUUUGACCUCUUGGCUUCUCAACUAAUUUUCAGGUUUUAUUUUUAAGAAGUGAACCCAUUUCAUCUUCCAUAGCUGUUAUCCAAUGCUUAGAGUCUUUGCAGUUUAUGGCAUCUUCAUAAGUGUUAAGCUCAUUUUUAGUUUGUUCCUGAUAGGUAAAUAAUGAAACAAAAUCAUCUGAAUCAUAUCUUGCAGGUGGUCUAGUCUGCUUUCUUUCCCUAUCUCUAGUUAAUUGAUAUUCUUCAAUGGGAUAGAUUGGAUUUUCAAUCUGGUCAUUGGUGUUAUUAUGCAGAUUAUUUUCAGUUUCAUUUUCAAAUUCAUUUUCUGCAUUAAUCAUUUCUGGUUCAACAGGUACAUUUGUUUUUCUUUCAACUUUAGAAGGCUCCACCUCAAUUUGUUCAUCAUCAGAAGUCAAAUUGUGUUUUCCUUCUAGGCAUGGCAUAAGGGAUUCAUUGAAGACAACAUCUCCCCUAACAAUCACCCUAUACCAUUUCUCACUUUUAACACACAGUCUAUACCCCUUCACAUUCUCACCAUAACCCAAGAAAACACAUUUAAGUGAUCUUGGUUCUAGUUUUCCAAUAUUCUGGUGUGCAUAAGCAGCACAUCCAAAGGUUUUUAAAUGUGAAUAAUCAAUAGAAUUUUUAGUCCAUACUGAUUCAGGUACUUCAAAAUUUAGGGCAGAAGUGGGUGUUCUAUUAACUAAAUAUGCAAUUGUUUUUACAGCUUCUCCCCAAAAUAUUUUUGGCAAACCAGAACUUAAAAGCAUACAUCUAACUUUAUUUAGUAAGGUUCUGUUCAUUCUUUCAGCUAUACCAUUUUGUUGAGGUGUAUAGGUAACAGUAAGAUAUCUUAAUAUACCAUGUUCUUUAUAGAAGUUAUUGAACUCAUGAUUACAAAACUCCAGACCAUUGUCUGUUCUUAAUAUUUUUAUCUUGUGAUCGGUUUGAUUUUCUAUUUGUGUUUUUCAGUCCCUAAAAACUGAAAAAGUCUCAUCUUUAGAUUUUAAUAAGAAAAUCCAGAUUUUUCUUGAAAAAUCAUCAAUGAUCAAAAGAUAAUAUUUAAACCCUGAAAUAGUACACACAGAUGCAGGUCCCCACAAAUCAGCAUGUAAGUACUCUAUAAUUUGUUUAGUUUUGUGAGUUCCAGGCAGAAAAGGAAGUUUAACUUGUUUACCAAUCACACAUUGUUCACAAUGACCAAUAUCACCAAGAUUUUGUUCUCCAAAAAUUCCUUUAUUUUCUAAAGUCUUUAGACUUUUCUUGCCAAUGUGACCAAGUCUCUCAUGCCAUAAUUUUGCAAAAGAAAAAUUUUCAGAUAAAGCAGUAGCAGUUAGGCCAAGUAAAGGUUUAGCUUUAAGGAAAUAAAGUCCAUGUCUCUUAGGGGUACUAAUGACUAAAUCAUUUUCCCUAAGAAUUUCAAUAUGUCCAUGACCCAAUUUUAUGUUGAACUCCAUAUCAUCCAACAUUCCUAGAGACACUAGAUUCUUCUCAAGUUCAAGCACAUAUCUAGUUCCUUUUAGAAAUAGGACCUUCCCCUUAUCAAGUAGCAAUUUUAUGGUGCCUAUUCCAUUUACUUUACAUGUUAUAUUGUUACCUAUUAUGACUUGCCUACCAGUAGUUUUUUCAAUUUCAAGAAAACUAUUCUUAUUAGGGCACAUAUGAAAGGAACAGCCUGAAUCAAGGAUCCAUUCAUCACUUAGUCUCUUGUCCCCAUUAACAAGUACUAGGCCAUCUUCAUUUUUAUCUUUGUUAUACAAUAAGGCUGCAUCCCCAACUUCAUAUUUCUUUUCUUUUGUCUCAUUUUUCUUUUUAUAACAGUUUUUAAUAAAAUGACCUUGUUUUCCACAAUAAAAACAUUUCUUUCCUUUGGCCUUGUUUUUAGACUUUCCCUUAUCACCCCAUUUUUGCUUAGUUUCAAAUGAAGCCUUUGAGUGAUAAUUAGGUUUACUAAAGCCUUUUCCUUUUGCCAUUAAAGUAUCCCCACUAUGAGUUUCUUUUGUUUCAGAUUUUAUUUCAAGGGCCUUAUUUUUUAGGGCAUUAAUUAUUAUUUUUGUAGUAAGUUCAUCCCUGCCAUAUUCUAAGGCAACCUUGAUAUCUUUAUAUCUAUCACUAAUAGAGUUCAACAAGAUCAUAGCCAACUGAUCUUGUGAAAGUUUUUCAUCAAAGUUGGUAAGAUCUUGAGUCAAUUUUGUAAACCUAUUCAAGUUAUCAUCCAAGUCAGUGGAAGGGUCCAUUUUAAAAGAAAAGAGCUGUUUUAACAGAUAACAUUUGUUAGGAAUGGUUUUUGUCACAUACUGUUUUUCUAAUUUGGUCCACAGUUCAGAAGCUGUCUUAGUUUCACCAAUAGUUCUUAUAACAUUCUCAGACAGAUACAAGAAAAUAGUGCUCCAGGCUAUCUCUUCUAAUUCAACCUUCCUAGUAGGGUUCAUGUCUUGAGACCAAGUGUCAUCUAAAGCCCUAACACAUCUCAUUUGCAUCAGUAUAGCUUUCAUCUUUUGACUCCACAUAUUGUAAUCAAUUUUUCCAUCGAAUUGUGCAACCUCAAAUUUAGCAGUAGCCAUUUUCUUAUGUCACAUAAAAUGUACAAGUUCGAGUUAAAAAUCACACAACAGCAUACACUGGACACACAACAAUGUCAACAAGGAGUAUUGUUCUCAGUAUUGAUCAAGAAUACACAACACAUGCAAGUUUAAAACAUAUAAGUAAUAUGCAGAUCAAAUCAAGGACUCAACAAUAGCAGGCAGAAAUUUUAGGUUUCUGAGAAGUUCCUCCUUCAAGAUCCCCGAGAUGCACCCCCAAAUUGGGCUUUUCUCAGAUUUCCAAGACCUCAUAGGAGUCUUUGGACAAAGACCAGACACCAGUGGGUAAAUGGUGUAUGGUUAAUCAAGGGAAGAAAAUCGAAACACACAAUUUCAUAAAGUAAACUUUACAAGUUUAGACAGAUCUCACCCAACAAGUAUAAAAUACUCAAGGUCCUUCAAUACUGUUUAAAAAUAAUUCCAGAAAUUUCAAAUCUGCCGCAGAUCGAGCCCUCCUUCAAAGAUCCAGGUAUCUUGCCCCAGUUCAACGCUCUGAUACCACUGAAAGGGGGCAAAAAAAACCCACACAUUAAUUGCAAGAUACAAUCGAGCUCAAAACAGAAAUUAAACUUGCAGAAAAUAAAUAACACAACAAGAUUUUCCUGCCGAAGCCCUAGAGGUUCAGUGACAAGCACCUAAUCCCCUAUUGAGCAUCCAAUUGAAGUGGAUAUUGCUCGGUUGCACUAAAGGCCCAAAAAUAGGCAAUUGAAGGUAACAGAGUUCAAUCACUAUAAGAAUACACAAGAAAGAGACUUAUCUCUUCAAAAGGAACCACAGAUUUGCCUCAGACUCGCACCGAAUCAACAGACCACAUUCCUAAUCUCAACACAUGAGAACUCUAAGUUUCACUCAAGAAAAGAUCAAUAUACAAUGAUUAAUAACCUUCCAAAAC